rnacentral:lncRNA from 1 species
GGGGGUACAGUGUGGGGAGCUGAGCUACCCCAUGAUGAAGUGGGGGUAUGGUGUGGGGAGCUGAGCUACCCCAUGAUGAAGUGGGGUAUGGUGUGGGAAGCUGAGGUACCCUGGGAUGAAGGAGGUACACUGUGGGGAGCUGAGGUGCCCCAUGAUGAAGUGGGGUAUGGUGUGGGGAGCUGAGGUACCCAUGAUGGAGUAUGGUGUGGGGAACUGAGGUGCCCCAUGAUGAAAUGGGGUAUGGUGUGGGAAGCUGAGCUACCCAUGAUGGAGUAUGGUGUGGGGAGCUGAGGUGCUCCAUGAUGAAGUGGGGUACAGUGUGGGGAGCUGAGGUACCCAUGAUGGAGUAUGGUAUGGGGAGCUGAGGUGCCCCAUGAUGAAGUUGGGUACAGUGUGGGGAGAUGAGGUACCCCAUGAUGAAGUGGGGCAUGGUUGGGGAGCUGAGGAGGCCCAUGAUGAAGUAGGGUACGGUGUGGGAAGCUGAGCUACCCAUGAUGGAGUAUGGUGUGGGGAGCUGAGGUGCUCCAUGAUGAAGUGGGGUACAGUGUGGGGAGCUGAGGUACCCCAUGAUGAAGUGGGGCACACCGUGGCAGGUGAGUACCCCAGGAUGUAGUGGAGUACAGUGGUAAAUGGAGGCUCACUGGUGAGGGCAGAUGCUCUGUUGAGAAGCAGUGCUACCUUCUGCUUCAUAACCCUGCCUUCUCUUCCUGCCUCUACUACUCCACUUUCAAAUUAGACAUCGCUGCUCAGGAUUCCUUCCCUAGAAAUCGACCUAAAAUACCUCUCCUACAGACAUGACCCUGAGGACAACCAGUGGCUUCUCACCUGGGGUCCUGGCUCCCAGCACUGUGUGCUGCUGGGUGAGAGUUCCCUUUGUGCAGAGCCCACUUACCACGUGUUGGAUGGAUGCGUCCAUUAAGGAUGGGAUGGAUGGAGUACAGGAGUCCAUUUCGCACACAUUUCCUGAGGUCUUCGAGGUGUCAUGCACCUGCUGGCCUCUGGGGAUCAGACGGGAAUAUAAACUGGUCCCUGUUCUCAAGGAGCUCACACAGGCCCCCGGCUUCACCUGGGCUAAGAGGUAUGACCCACACACUUAUUCAGUGUAGGGGACAGGCCACCAGCUCUGCCUUGGUAAGCCGGGGAAGGCUCGACAGAGUUGGUAAUCUCCGAAG